GGUACGGAAAACUACGAGUCCAAAGCAUCAUUGCGGUAGGAAACAUCCAAUCAAAGGCUAACAUCAUGUCACGUGCACCGCUAAUGCGCCGAAGGUCGGAGCCGCAGUUGGGGCUGAAAAUAAAACUCUACGAGCUCUAAACAUAGAGUUGUAGCAACAUCUGCCGAAGACACUGAACUCCACAUCAACAGCAAAGUGCAGUGUUGCAGAGUCUGGCAGUGAGAAUGCGAUGGAGCCAUCUGUAUCUCCAAAAGAAGAUGAGAUUCAACUGGGAGGACGAGUUCGACUUUGUAAAGAGGCCUGGUCCAGCAUAAAAAAUAACAGUCCAGAAGCGUCCGUGCAUUCACAUCACUCAAGAAAUGGUUACUGUUUUCCAUCAGUGCUGGUACGUCCGAUAUGGCCAAGAUGGAGAUGGAGCGUUUACUCCGAGAGGCCCAGGCUGAGAAGCAGAGACUCCUCGAGCAUCGGGUACUGUGUCACAUCUAACCAAAACUUACCGUAUAUAUGGAGGAGCGUGUUUAAAGAUGCAUGUAAUUUACUUUUUAGCUUGUGGCAUCGUCCACACGUGCACCGUGAAUACUGUUGACAUCUGUUUGUCUUCUGCUUUUCUCCUUCCAUUUGUCUUUCUCCCUCCCACACAUGUAUCACCUCAUCCCAUCAGUAAAUCUAGAAACAAUGUAGCUGUUACAUAUUCCCACUAUCUCCUUCCUUAUACAAAAUGUCUGCUUGUCUCACACUCUUCCGGUUAUGUUUAGCUUUUAUUCAGUCAAAACUUUAUCAGGGAAUUUUUUAAAUGAUUGGAAACUCAACAUCUGCUACGCCUCCACACUGCGACACACACUGAUGCUGCUUCUCUAUAACAGAUGCAUAUCUGUCAAACAGCUUUCCAUAAACUGUAGCCUUCUGUAAUUUACUCAUCCCACAUUUUAAAAACCAAAUUUUAUACUGUAGGUCCACCUCUGUUUCUUAUCCUUCCUUCCCUCUAUGACUUGACUCCACCUUCUCAGUAUUUCUAUAUCUUAGUCAGGCUGAAAUUUAUUUCUUUUGAAUAUCAGUGGGUCACAACUUCCUGGUGAUUUUUACCCAUAUAAGAUGGUUUGUAGUUGAGGGAAUGCACAUUUUUACGUUAACUCAGAUUUAUUAUCUCUAUAUUGCCGCUAUUAUUCCAAUGUAAUUAGUGUGAGUAUUAUUUGAGAUUUUUAACUCAAGUAUUUUGAUUGCUGCUGCCAGACGACCAGCAUAAGCUGCUCUUGUCUGCUUAUUUAAAGCAGGGCUGAAUGUCCACCUUUAGUAUUCCUUUAAACUAGAUACAUCUCUCUUUGUAUCACUUUCAUUCCAGCGAGCCACGAUUCGUGCUUUUCUUCACAUAUGUAAACUUAAUCCGCGAAGGAGAGACUAUUAUAGGCACUUUUUUAUGUUUUAUUAUCAUGAUUUAUUUGUAAUUGUUGACAAACAUUCUACUCAUUAAAGUAGAACAUUUUCCCCGACGGCAACGGUACUUUGUUUCAUACCUACCGCUGUGCGACUAGCUCCCUCUAUCUAUAGUAGAGGCUCCUGGCC